rnacentral:lncRNA from 1 species
CAGGAAAUGAGUGAGAACAAGUGUGAGAGGAAGGCCGGUGGCAGGAGCAGCAUAGCACAGAGGGCCAGCCUCCUGGGGCCCCACUCCCUGUCACAGGGAGACACGGGGGGGCCUGCUGGCCCUGAGCAAGGUCUCGGCGACUGGCGGUCAGCGUGUGGCUCUGAGUGGCAGGAGGGAACAGAGAGAGGAACCGAGAGAGGGGCAGGGAGGGCAGGGAAGGACAGGAGCGCCCGCCGACGGGCCGGCCGCCGCACUCAAGGCUGAGAGUGCUAGUCACCAGUCCUCCAGCUCAACUGGUGCCUCCCCACUGGAUGACGUCCACCCUGCUGGCCCUGAGAGGCCGUAAGACAGGUAAGGACACAGGCAUGGGAAGCCUUGGUUCUCACCCGGGGAGAUCUGAGCUCACGUCCCUCUCAGUCCCGAGGGUGUGCAGGGCCCUGGCCACAGCCCACACCUCAGGGCCUCGACCUGGCCCCGUCCCCGAGAUCCUUCUCUGCCGGCAGGGGCUGGCUCCUUGUAAAGAAGAACCUCCUCUCUCCUCUCUCCCCUCACCUCUUCCUCCUUCCCUCCCUGGCCCCCUCACGCCCCCUUCCCCUCCAGUUGCCCACAUUUUCUCCUCACCCUCACCUUCAGCUUGCUCUCCAGUUUGCUGAGAGGUGGGGGCCACAGGAAGAGGACCGCCGAGGCUCAUCGGCAUCAGGGGUCAGGUGCUCUACCCACGGAAAACACCUGGGCUCCUGGCUGAAGCAGCCGGCUGCCUCUCAGCUGCUCGGGGACGCAGCUCCGGCAGUUUCCGGCCCUGCUCUCCUAGUCCAUCCAUGUCCCGUCUGCAAACUUGAGCGUGAGCCCAUCUUAAAAACAGUCCCGGCCCACCAGUGCCCCCACCUUCUCAGGGUCCCUUGGCAGUGACAUGCUUGAAAGAGACGUCUGCACUCCAAUCUCUCUUCCCGCUCUUGAACCCGCUCCAAACUGGCUCCACCCUACCACUCUGUCCAAACGGCUUAUCUUAGUUAUCUCAGGCCGCCAUAACUGAAAUACCACAGACUAGGGGGCUUAGCCACGGGAAUCUAUUUUCUGACAGUUCUGGAGGCUGGAAGUCCAAGACCAGGGUUCUGGCCCAUCUGGGUCAUGGUGAGAACCCUCUGCCUGUGGUGAGAAUGGCCGCCUUCUGGCCCCAUAUGCUCACACGGUGGAGAGAGAGGGAGACAGUGUGAGCUCUCUGGUGUCUCCUCUUACAGGGACACUCAUCCUGUUGGAUCAGGGCCUCACACUUAUGACCUGAUUUAACCUUAACUACUUCCUUAGACUCUAUAUCCACAUACAGGCACAUUGUGGGGGUAGGGCCUCCACUGCAAAUGGGGGGCGGGGGCAUGACUCAAUCCAUAGCACAGCUCUCGUCAGGAUCAUCACCAACCUCCAUGGUGCCAAACCCAGGGGUCCGUUCUUAGGCCUGGCCUACUGGCCUUCGGGGCACGGAACACAGCCGGCUCCUUUCCUCCUUGGCCUCUGAGACUCACUCUCCUUCUCCUCCCUCACAACUGCUUCUCAUUCUUUGCCGGUCUCCAUUUUCCCAACCCGUCAACCUUGCCACGCCCUGGAGCUCAGCCCUGACUUUUCCCCUUCCUGUCUGCACUCACUCCUGAGGCGGCCCCACCACAGCCCCCUUCACUGAUGCCCCCACGUUUACACCCUCAUCUUGGAGUCUCGCCUGUGCGCCAGCCCUGUCUAGCCGGCUGCCCCCCACUCGGAGCCUUCACGGGCGUCUUACAGUCAACCUGCCUACAACAAACGCCUGCCCUUCUCCCACCUCGCCAACCUGCCCUCCCCUCGGGGCCGUCAGCUCCCUUUAUCCUGUGGCUCAGGACCGAACCUUUGCCAUCCUCCGUCACUUCUCUCUUCCCCUCGCAGCCCUGGUUCUACAUGUGAGCACAUCCUUUUGGCUCCGUCUUCGAGAUACUCAGUCCAACCACACCUGACCACUCGGCCUCGCCACCGUCGUGUUCAUCCGGAGGAACCAUAGCGCCCUCCUGAUAGUCUCCCACUCGGGUGGGCUGGGUAACGUCUCUCCUCCCCCAAAGAGGUCUGCGUCGCAAUCUGUAACUUGUGACUGUGUCACCUUACGUAGUAAGAGGGACUUUGCAGACGGAAUUAAAUUGAGGACGUUGAGAUGGGAGAUUAUCUUGGAUCAUCCAAGUGGGCCCAAGGUCCCUCCUUUUGAGAGGUGGGCGAGGACAGAAGGCAGAAGGUGACAUAACAGUGGCAGCAAGUGUGGUGUGAUGUGGGGCCGCGAGCCCAAGAAACGGCAGCCUCUAGAAACGGAUUCUCUUCUAGAGCCUUCGGAAAGAACACAACCCUGCCAACACAGACCUCCAAAACGGUAGAAUAAAUGUGUGUUGUUUUAAGCUGCUAAGCUUGUG